rnacentral:rRNA from 1 species
AGAGUUUGAUCAUGGCUCAGAACGAACGCUGGCGGCAGGCCUAACACAUGCAAGUCGAGCGCCCGCAAGGGAGCGGCAGACGGGUGAGUAACGCGUGGGAACGUGCCCUUUGGUUCGGAAUAUUCCCGGGAAACUGGGGGCAAAACCGGAUAAGCCCUUCGGGGGAAAGUUUACGCCAAAGGAUCGGCCCGCGUUAGAUUAGGUAGUUGGUGGGGUAACGGCCUGCCAAGCCUACGAUCUAUAGCUGAUCUGAGAGGAUGAUCAGCCACACUGGGACUGAGACACGGCCCAGACUCCUACGGGAGGCAGCAGUGGGGAAUCUUAGACAAUGGGCGCAAGCCUGAUCUAGCCAUGCCGCGUGAGCGAUGAAGGCCUUAGGGUUGUAAAGCUCUUUCGUGGGGGAAGAUAAUGACGGUACCCCAAGAAGAAGCCCCGGCUAACUCCGUGCCAGCAGCCGCAGUAAUACGGAGGGGGCUAGCGUUGUUCGGAAUUACUGGGCGUAAAGCGCACGUAGGCGGAGCGGAGAGUCAGGGGUGAAAUCCCGGGGCUCAACCCCGGAACUGCCUUUGAAACUCCCGCUCUUGAGGUCGCGAGAGGUGAGUGGAAUUCCGAGUGUAGAGGUGAAAUUCGUAGAUAUUCGGAGGAACACCAGUGGCGAAGGCGGCUCACUGGACCGUUGCUGACGCUGAGGCGCGAAAGCGUGGGGAGCAAACAGGAUUAGAUACCCCGGUAGUCC